rnacentral:rRNA from 1 species
CUCGGUGGUAAUAGGAGAGGGGAAACACCCGUUCCCAUUCCGAAUACGGUCGUUAAGCCCUCUACCGCAGAUGGUACUUGUUUCGAUGAAACUGGGAGAGUAUGAAACUGCCGG